rnacentral:rRNA from 1 species
AUGGAGCACCACCAGCGGCUGCUGCAUUUGUCGCCACACCAAGAGCACCUCAUGAUCGGCCCGGGGUUCUUCGACGUUGACCCGAUGCACUUCCACGGCGACGACGCCGGCUUCGCGGUGCAGCCGGCCGCUGACGAUGGCGCCUGGAUGGAGGACCUCAUGCAUCUCGGCGACGAGCUGUUCGGCGGUGGAGGUGGCGGCGGCGCCGGGGACGACAACGACAUGGUGGGCGCUGCUGCUGCUGACCAGGCAUGGCGGCAGGAAUGCGAGGGCGCGUCCCCGGACGACCACCCCUGCAGCUACGACGACGUGAUCAGCCCUGUCUCCGGGGAGCAAGGCGCGGGCUUCGAGCCCAGCCGCGACGACAGCGACCUGUCGGGGACGAGGAAGAGGCGGGACCGCUCCAAGACCAUCGUGUCGGAGCGCAAGAGGAGGUUCCGGAUGAAGGAGAAGCUAUACGAGCUCAGGGCUCUCGUCCCCAACAUCACAAAGAUGGACAAGGCUUCCAUCAUCGCCGACGCAGUGGCGUACGUCAAGAACCUGCAGUCGCACGCCAGGAAGCUCAAGGAGGACGUGGCGACGCUCGAGGCGCGGCCGGGGUUGGCCGGCCGGCGGCAGCAGCAGCAGCAGCAGAAGCAGGGCCGGCGGCAGGGGCAGCACGGCCGCAACGGCGGCGACGACGAGGGGAACAGCGGCAGCUCCAGAGGGGGCGGCGGCGCGCGGGUGACGCUAGUGAGCGCGGCCCAGGUGGGCGAGGGCCGGUUCUUCGUGACGGUGGAGUGCGAGCGGCGGGACGGCGUGGCGGCGCCUCUGUGCGCGGCCGUCGAGGCCCUGGCCGGCUUCCUGGUGGAGAGCUCCAACCUCGGCUGCUCGUCGGACCGCGUCGUGUCAACUCUCACACUCAAGGUUUGUGAAACAAGGGAGGACGUGAUGAUCAGCGAUCGCACGGUGAAGCUGUGGGUGAUGGCGGCGCUGCUCAGCGAGGGCUUCCGGCCAGAAGCCACGUCGGAGAUCUGCUAA